AAUAAUAUCAAUAAAUUAUUUUUCAAAUGUGUUUGUUGUAUGUAUAUCAUUUCUAUGUUCUAUCCAUUUGUUUUAGAUCAGAUAAAUUGGAAAGAUAAUAUUGGUGAUAAAAUUUUACAAGUCACAGUGAUAAGUUUUCUUGCUUAAUAAUAGCAAGAGAUAGUGAAUCACAGUUAAAUGAAGGGAGAAAAGAAGAAACUGGAAAUUUUCUUGUUCUCAACCGCCGCCGCCAACCGGUUCGUCUAUUUCAUUCGAGUUUUCAAAGUUUUCUCCGCCGUUAAUGGGACUGGCUGUUGUAUUGCGAAAAGAAAAGGUGGCGGAGGGAUGGCAGCGGUGGAAGGAAGGAAGAGGAGAAUGGCAUGGCACCGUGCAUUCUUCGUAGACUGGGUACACAGAGACACGCGAUGUUUCGAGGACUCCAUCGAGAAAUAUCGAUCCUGCUAUGUCCACUGACUUGGGCUAAGUGUUUCGUCGAGGAUUGCGUUGCUUAGAAGAAUCAUGAUAACAAUCUACUUUAUAUCUUGAUCAAAAAAAAAAAUUUAAAAAAGAAAAGUAUGAUAUACACACAUUCGUUAACUUAAUAAUAAAUGAAUAAAGUGCAGUUUACUUCAAACUUUGUCACAAGAUAAUCCG